GAACAAUUUUUGACUCUUCCUUUUAGAAUGACUGAAAGGAAAAGAGAAGUGAAGUGUGAAAGGUGUCAGCUCACAGCCUACCCCCACUUUCUCCUGCUUUUCAAGGCUCAGGCUUCCUGCUCCUCCCCCCAGGGACCUGAGCGCUAAAGCAGGGGGGAUGACAGACUAAAGCUGUCACUCAUCCUCUCGGCAUGGAUUGGAAGAUCAUCCCCUCCUGAUAUGGAAGAGUUUUACAGAUGAAGAAACAAAGGCUUGGAGAAGUAUGUAACUUACCCAAGGUUACACAACUGGUGAGCUGCAGAGCCCACCCGUCUUGUCUGCCCCUAGGCCCACGCCCUGGGGGAAGGCCAUGGGUAAAGGCCCCUCCCACCUUUGUUUCUUUCCCCAUGAAGCUGUACCAUUUUCCUUAGUUCCUGUGUACCUACAUCUGUGGCCCUGCAAAAGAACUGCUCAAUGCUGCCCAAUAUGUCACAAACCACACAGAUGCAAAAGCAGAGAUUGAUGCCACCAUGGAAGUCAGUGUUUCGAGAUUCAGCUGGUCCUUGGCUAUUGCCAGCAAUCCUUUGGGCUGCCCUCAUAAGCUCUAUGCUUUGUUCUCAUGAAUUUUCCAGCUGUUUGCUCUCUCUUUUCAUAGCAGUAUCUUAGUCAACAACUUAUUAGAUUGAUUCAACAUAAUACACUUUGUGCACUUUAUGACUGUUAUCUCUGCAACCUUAAGCACAUUGUUUAACCUCUCUCAAUGUUUUUCUUAGUAAUAAAGAUAGUUUAUUUGCCUAGUAUUAUUGCUGAAAUAAAUCAUAAGGCACAAUUUCA